GUCUCAAAAAAAAAAAAGAUCAUUUGUUCAAUGUCCCUUUUUCUCACUGCCAGGCCAGGGCUCUUGUCUGCACCAUGGAACCCAUUAUGGCUUGAGCCUUUCCAGAUCAAUUCUCCAUAAACCUAAUGAGGACAUUGGAAAGGUGAGCUGAGGCCAGAGUGGGACGAUAAGGAGGACGACUGCGCCAUCUGCUGGGCAUCUCAGGCAAGCUCCAGCUGUGCCCAGGUUGAGGCAGGAAUGGAGAAACCACAGGCUUUUGAGUUGAAAGCCCCAGAUACAAGUUCCAGCUCAGCCCCGGACUACUUUGAGCUGACUUCUCCUCAGUAAAAUGCACAAAUACUUGUGAAUGGAUGCUCCAAUAACCUGAGAAGGUUGUGUGAAGAGGUAAGAUGGUAUCUAAGGAAACGUUUCAAGUGCCCUCAUGUGCCACACAGAUGAGGAGAUUUAUCAUUAUAUCAUGAGAAAAAAGCUGAAAUUGGAUGUCAGGGCAUGUAUUAUUACAAUUCUUUUUUAUUUUUAUUUUGAGACAGAGUCUCACUCUGUUACCUAGGCUGGAGAGCAGUGGUGCGAUCUCAGCUCACUGCCACCUUGAUCAAGCUCAAGCAAUCCUCCCACCUCAGCCUCCUGAGUAGCUGGGACUGCAGGCACACACCACCAUGCCCAGCUGAUGUUUGUAUUUUACGCAGAGGCAGAGUUUCACCAUGUUGCCCAGGCCAGUCUCAAACUCUUGGCCUCAAGUGAUCUGCCCGCCUUGGUAUCCCAAAAUGUUGGGAUUGCAGGCACAAGCCACUGCGCUCGGCCACAAUUCUUUUGAACAAUUCUUCUUCCUUUUGCUUAAGCAAAAGAGGAAUCUUUUGGUUCCAAUGACAGUUGUCAGUAGUCAUCAGGACUAAUCACAAAUAUCCCGCUUCUCUUCCGUCCUGGCACAUGGUAGGAUUCAGCUUCUCUGCUCUUUCAUGGUUAGAUGUGCCCACAUGAUUUGACUGGUACUUCUGGGCAGCAGCUUUAAGAUCACAGGUACAAUUUGCCAUAGUCCCUUUCCCUGCCUUGGUGAUUGUGGAGGCAUGUGUUGAGAUGAAGCUUCCAUCAUCUUAGGCCCUUAGUGAUUACAGUGAGCAGAAUACCCACCCUUCUCCUCCAACCUGCAGUGAAUGUACAGCAUUGGCAAAGAAACUUGAGUUGUGUAAAAAGCCACGACAACCUUGGGAUUGUUUGUUACUGCAGCAUAACCUUGUAUUGAGUAUAUGUUCUUAUUUUCUGUAUUCUUCAUGCUCUAGCAUUUGGGUCGUUGAUCCAAAGAAGCCGCCCCAUCCAGGGCUAGCAAAUUCCUAGAGAGAGACAGAGACAGAGAGAGAGAGAGAGGUAGAGAGAGAGAGAGAGAGAGAGCGAGCGCACACAAACAAUUCUCCUGGGAGCAUGCCUUUGAUGUACAAACCAACUAAUCCAGAGCCCACACUCCCAACCAUCUUCUUCUUUUUAAAACCAAACUUUCACAUGCCAAGCCAAUAUUCCCCUUGCCCUAAGUCACCCUAGGGCCAGACGACUAGGUACCAUCCCUAUGGCCCUGAACCCACCCAAAUUAUUCAAACUAUCCAACCCUAAACUUAGUGAGCAUAUAUACCUUGUCUUAACCAUUCCUUCCUAUGAAAACCCCAAUAAAGGCUUGGGGCCAUGCUCUCCCCUCUCCCUGCCUCCUGACCAACACUUAUCCUUCUGAACCACGUGGCCCCGUGUGCCACACCUCCUGCUUCUAGACUCUAUGAGCACAAACUUCUUCCUUCAUGAUAAUCAUUUCCAUGUCUCUGUGCCUUAUGUCUUAACAUUCCUGAUUAAAACAAAUCCUGAGAACACCUGGCACAGUGAGCAGGGUGGUUUGAUGCCAGAUGGAGAUGGAAUGUCCUUAGACUGAUCUUGAUUUGCUACCUGGACCCAACAGACAGCAGCCACUGCUUAGCAAGGCACAGCUGGGAGUAGAGUGCUCAGACUUCCUGCUUGAUGGCUACUGCAUUGGGUUGUGUUUUUUGUCAGGUGUUGCCAUUAUUUCCCAGCUUGAAAUUGUGAUGCUCGAGAAGCUGAGUCCCGGAGCUGCCUCAUAGGCUGGUGUCAUGUGUCUGGGACUAACCUAUUUCUCCACGGUGGUGGAGCACCCAGGAUUCAGGACAGAGUGCCUGGGGUUAUAUAAGUAAUUGGCUACAUUUGUUUCUCAAAAGGUCCCUCUGAAGGGGACCAGGAGUGACUGGCUACCCUCUUUAUGCCAAGGGACAAGUCUGAUCCACUGACUGAGGAUCACUGACAACACUGGGGUCAUGAGAGUCAUUUAGAUGAAAGUGCCUAGUGUCUAGGAUGUGAUAGCUCCUGAGGACACUCAUAAACCACUUUCCCUUUUCCCUCUGGGCUUUGCUGAGUCAAAUUUCAGCCUCUUCCUUGGAGUACUGCGAGAGCACUUCUCUGAAUGCUUGCUCCUUGCUCGCGCAUGUGUUGAGGGCCAUUCAUGGGGUCAGUGUGAAGGGCUCCUCCAGGGAUUACGGCAUCCCACAAAUGUUCAGAUCACACACUUCUCUGCUGUCUGCUUGCUGCUGUCACGAUUUAUUUCCCAACCCAGGGGUAAAUAAGAAGUCCCCUUCCUAGAGACAAGUGACUCAACUU